GCCUGGGUGGCUCAGUGGUUAAGUGUCUGACUUUGGAUCUUAUGGCUUGUGGGUUCGAGUCCCACCUCGGGCU